rnacentral:lncRNA from 1 species
AAGUUAUAAGACUAACGGACUGGACUCUGAUAGCAGGAAGAGUUUCAUUCAUAUUUGGCUUUUGGAUUUUUUUUGUAUGAUAAGUAUCAAAGAAAAUGUGGCAAAAUAGAAGCCCAACCUAAUAUGAUAUUCUAUAGUGCCCACACUUGUUCCGUGGCUGCGCUAAAAAUAGCGUAAUGAUAAAAAAAUCUUCUUAAAUUUCUGGAAACCAAUGGAGGAUCCGGCGGUCCUCCCCGAUGCCAGAAUGUUGGUGAUACAACGGUGGAAUUAGCGGCAGAGGUUGGGCUGUCCCCAUUUAAAACUUUCAUCUAUUUUUCUUUUUGCAAUUUAAGCUCAUGAAGCUCAUAGGAGUAGUUCAUUAAAAUUUU